CCUACGGGAGGCAGCAGUGAGGAAUAUUGGUCAAUGGACGAGAGUCUGAACCAGCCAAGUAGCGUGAAGGAUGACUGCCCUAUGGGUUGUAACCUCCUUUUUAAAGGAAUUAAACGAGGCACGUGUGCCCUUUUGCAUGUACUUUAUGAAUAAGGAUCGGCUAACUCCGUGCCAGCAGCCGCGGUAAUACGGAGGAUCCGAGCGUUUUCCGGAUUUAUUGGGUUUAAAGGGAGCGUAGAUGGGUUGUUAAGUCAGUUGUGAAAGUUUGCGGCUCAACCGUAAAAUUGCAAUUGAUACUGGCAGUCUUGAGUACAGUUGAGGUAGGCGGAAUUCGUGGUGUAGCGGUGAAAUGCUUAGAUAUCACGAAGAACCCCGAUUGCGAAGGCAGCUUACUAAACUGUGACUGACAUUGAUGCUCGAAAGUGUGGGUAUCAAACAGGAUUAGAUACCCGUGUAGUC
rnacentral:rRNA from 1 species